rnacentral:rRNA from 1 species
GAUACCCUAUUAUUUUGAAUGUGAAUUUUUAAACUGAGAUUAUUAAUAGUUAAGUUCUUUAAAAUUAAAAAAUUUGGCGGUAUUUUAGUCUAUUCAGAGGAACCUGUUUUUUAAUUGAUAUUCCACGAUAAUUUUUACUUUAGCUUUAAAUUUAUAUAUCGUUGUUUAUAAAAAUUUUAAGAGAAUUUUAAUUUUUUAGAUUAUUGAUUAAGUAAGUAAUUCAGAUCAAGGUGUAGUUUAUGCUAAAGUUAGAAUGGGUUACAUUAUAUUUAUAUGUGGUUUUUAAUUUUAUAAUUUAGAAUAAAAUGGAUUUGAUAGUAAAUUCUUAUAUUUUUGGGAUUUGAUUAAGCUCUAAAAUAUGCACACAUCGCC